rnacentral:rRNA from 1 species
GACGAACGCUGGCGGCGUGCUUAACACAUGCAAGUCGAACGGAAAGGCCCUGCUUUUGUGGGGUGCUCGAGUGGCGAACGGGUGAGUAACACGUGAGUAACCUGCCCUUGACUUUGGGAUAACUUCAGGAAACUGGGGCUAAUACCGGAUAGGAGCUCCUGCUGCCUGGUGUGGGUUGGAAAGUUUCGGCGGUUGGGGAUGGACUCGCGGCUUAUCAGCUUGUUGGUGGGGUAGUGGCUUACCAAGGCUUUGACGGGUAGCCGGCCUGAGAGGGUGACCGGCCACAUUGGGACUGAGAUACGGCCCAGACUCCUACGGGAGGCAGCAGUGGGGAAUAGUGCACAAUGGGCGGAAGCCUGAUGCAGCAACGCCGCGUGCGGGAUGACGGCCUUCGGGUUGUAAACCGCUUUCGCCUGUGACGAAGCGUGAGUGACGGUAAUGGGUAAAGAAGCACCGGCUAACUACGUG